rnacentral:rRNA from 1 species
UACGUAGGGUGCGAGCGUUAAUCGGAAUUACUGGGCGUAAAGUGUGCGCAGGCGGCGUUGCAAGUCGAGUGUGAAAUCCCCGGGCUUAACCUGGGAACUGCAUUUGUGACUGCACGGCUAGAGUGUGUCAGAGGGGGGUAGAAUUCCACGUGUAGCAGUGAAAUGCGUAGAUAUGUGGAGGAAUACCGAUGGCGAAGGCAGCCCCCUGGGAUAACACUGACGCUCAUGCACGAAAGCGUGGGGAGCAAACAGG